rnacentral:snoRNA from 1 species
UCUCAUGAUGACAAACUUCGAAAAUAAAUAUUAUUUCUGGUACCUCUUAUGUCAGAGGAGAAGCGGCCUCAGGGCUGUUUCUCUUCAAUGAAUUUACUGGACUUCUGAUU